UAAUGUGAACCUGAACCAAACAAAAUACCUUCUUGUAUUAAAAAGGGUAUAGACUGCAGAGAUAGACAUAAUCAUGCCCCUGUACAAAGCAUUAGUA